UACGUAGGGCGCAAGCGUUAUCCGGAAUUAUUGGGCGUAAAGAGCUAGUAGGCGGUUUGUCGCGUCUGCCGUGAAAGUCCGGGGCUCAACUCCGGAUCUGCGGUGGGUACGGGCAGACUAGAGUGAUGUAGGGGAGACUGGAAUUCCUGGUGUAGCGGUGAAAUGCGCAGAUAUCAGGAGGAACACCGAUGGCGAAGGCGGGUCUCUGGGCCGAUACUGACGCUGAGGAGCGAAAGCGUGGGGAGCGAACAGG
rnacentral:rRNA from 1 species